rnacentral:rRNA from 1 species
AUACGAAAGGUGCAAGCGUUGUUCGGAUUUACUGGGCGUAAAGAGAGUGUAGGUGGUUUAUUAAGUCGGAUGUGAAAUCCCGGGGCUCAACCUCGGAACUGCAUUCGAUACUGAUAGGCUAGAGUUUGGGAGGGGUAAGCGGAAUUCCGUGUGUGGCAGUGAAAUGCGUAGAUAUACGGAGGAACACCUGAGGCGAAGGCGGCUUACUGGACCAAUACUGACACUGAGACUCGAAAGCGUGGGUAGCAAACAGGAUUAGAUACCCUAGUAGUCC